UAUUAUUCAGCAAUAUUGUACGUUCCCCUAGUUUCUUAAGAUAUCUUACAUAUUGAUCGAUUUGAUUCAUUUUUGCAGCGCGACAUAUUAUUACCAGAAAAAGAAGCUCAAUUAAGACUUACAAAUUUACUGAUAUUAUAGUAUAAAGUAUUCCAGAAAUUAUAAUCUGUUAUUAUUUAAAUGGGUGCUAGAAAUAUUAACCGGAUUUUAAGAGAACUAUUGACCUGGUGUUAACCAACACUGGUUCUUGGCACUGAGGUUCACAUACAGUUGCGAGAAAAAUAAUAGCAGUCCCUUGAAGAACAUACUAUCUACCAGUGUAGUUUUACUAUUUUUAAGUGUUUUCAUUUUUUCUUUUUGCUAAAGCGUUAACUCACACUAGUAUUCGCAGUUAGUCAUGUUCGAAUAACGGUAGGUUGGCAUCAUAUUUUCAUAUGUUAAUUUCACUGAUGCUAAGUGGUUUGUAUGGCGAGCACAUUAAUAGCAGCGUUUAAUUGUUCUCUGAAUAUAAUUGAAAAUUUGAUAUAUACGAUUUUUAAAAUGGGUCGUGGAAAACAUUGCAGCACGGAGAAACGCAAUUUGAUAAAUAAUCUGAUAAGUGCAGGUAAAACUUAUAAAGAAGUAAGAAAA